GCGGACGGGUGAGUAAUGUCUGGGAAACUGCCUGAUGGAGGGGGAUAACUACUGGAAACGGUAGCUAAUACCGCAUAACGUCGCAAGACCAAAGAGGGGGACCUUCGGGCCUCUUGCCAUCGGAUGUGCCCAGAUGGGAUUAGCUAGUAGGUGGGGUAACGGCUCACCUAGGCGACGAUCCCUAGCUGGUCUGAGAGGAUGACCAGCCACACUGGAACUGAGACACGGUCCAGACUCCUACGGGAGGCAGCAGUGGGGAAUAUUGCACAAUGGGCGCAAGCCUGAUGCAGCCAUGCCGCGUGUAUGAAGAAGGCCUUCGGGUUGUAAAGUACUUUCAGCGGGGAGGAAGGGAGUAAAGUUAAUACCUUUGCUCAUUGACGUUACCCGCAGAAGAAGCACCGGCUAACUCCGUGCCAGCAGCCGCGGUAAUACGGA
rnacentral:rRNA from 1 species